GGGGUUGUAGCUCAGAGGAAAAGUGCUUGCCUAGCAUGCAUGAGGCUCUGGGUUCAAUCCUCAGCACCA
rnacentral:tRNA from 1 species